GUAGAAUAAUAUGGAUAAUGAUACAGAAGAAUGAGCAACCCCUGAGAAAUUUUGGAUAAUAUAUUUUUUCUUGAAAUUGAGAAUUGAUAAGAAAAAUAUUAUAAUUGAAAAUUGCUCAUGUAGGUGAAAGUUGUAUGCUUAGGCAUUAUGUACUCUCCACUAAGUUGUGAGACUUACUUUUCAUUUGGACGAGUAACCUUAAUAACCAAAUGGGGAAUCCACAAUUUCAUUUACAGAUUGCUCAUUAUCAAAGUAAACUUGCAUGGAUUAUGCUUAUUUCUUAAAGCUUGGUGACUAGGGUUGAUAAACUAUCACCUUAUUGAUGAGAUAUCAACCCAAGUAGUCAACCAUGUGGAUUCUUGCGUUGAACACUAUUUUGGAUUGACGACUACAAGUAAUGAUCCAUAAACACAUUGGCGAGAUGUCAACUCAAGUCAUCAACAUGGUAUAGUCAUGCCUCCAAAAGGUCAACCAAAGUGCACUAGUAAAAGAACAACUAAAAUGCCUCAACUUAAAGGUUGUUUGACAAAUCUGAACAUGAACUUGAAGAAGUCGGACCACAAGGAUAUCACACGAGGUAGAGUAUUCGUCUAAGAGAGCCCACCCCCAGUCUGAAUAGGAAGUGGUAUCUAUUGAGAGCGAGUUGAGCUUUGAACAAGAGAGCUCUAAAGAGGGAGACUCUACUAUAUCCAAAAACCUUGAGGGAGAGGAUAUACAACCUCAUGGUGAUGUGAUUAAGAGUAAGAACCACAAUUUUAAAGAAAGUUUGCAAUGAAAUGUAGAGGGGUCACCCAAAAUCUACUAUGAAGGGUAAGUAACCAUUGGUUAACGCAAAAUGAAAAGAGCUCGAACUGAAGAGCUCAGUAUUAUUACAUCAGGGUUGAGAAUAUACCCCAAAAUUGAGCAAACACUAAAGUUAUAUGAUUUAGGAUGAACCACCAAGGAAGCAAGUUCAUACUAUCUGUCCAGAGCACAUGUUUUAUACAAACUACACAACCACCCUAGAGAAUAUGUGCAAAAAGGGAUAGAAGGUCAUAGACAAACCAAACAUGUAUCGGGUGCCAGUUUAGGAUGUGUCAGUAGAUUUGUCCAAUUGCACUAUUAAUAGAUUCUUGCAUUGAGUAGAUUUUGUACCACCGAAUACUACUCUAGUGUUCUACCAUAGUAUAAAAGGCCAAUCAAAUCAAUGCCCAUGGUUAGCUCAAGUCUUCGUAGAAAGAUAACCAGAAUGGGUGAAUAACCCUACUGCCAAGAUCACACAAGCUUUAUUAACUGAGGUAGCAAAUUUUUGGUCGGGUGUUGUGUGAUUUAGACUGAUGCCAGUGGCAGGAGAUAACACAUUGGGCAAUGACAAAGCAGUAUUGGUAGCGAGUCUGAUGUUUUGGUUCCAACUAAACUUUGGAGAAAUGAUUGCUAAUGAGAUCAAUAUAGGAUUCAAGAGAACAAAUACGACAUAUCUAUUCCUAUAUUUGAUCACAAGGUUAUGUGAGGAUGAUCAUGUCCUUAUAAACACUGGAGUGGAUAAUAGAGUGAAAAUAACAAAGACACAUUCUUUUGAUAGAUCCAGAGAUGAAGAAAGACCCACAUUAAGUUUGGUUAAGAGUUGACACUUUGACUAUAGAUGAUACACAUACACCUAUAGCUACCUAAUGAUCCAUACCUGGUAUACAAGUCUUUUUAUGCUACCUCCUCCACAAGUACUAUACAUACCAUAGAGACUAUAGAAGAGACAUUUAUUAUAACUUCAGUUCUCGAGUAUGCGAUCGCUCCUCAAAACUUUAACAAAAUAAUAAAAUAAGGAAAAAAUUUGAUGCUCA